UACGUAGGGUGCGAGCGUUAAUCGGAAUUACUGGGCGUAAAGCGUGCGCAGGUGGUUCGUUGUGUCGGUGGUGAAAUCCCCGGGCUUAACCUGGGAAUGGCCAUGGAAACUGGCGAACUGGAGUGCGGCAGAGGGGGGUGGAAUUCCGCGUGUAGCAGUGAAAUGCGUAGAGAUGCGGAGGAACACCGAUGGCGAAGGCAGCCCCCUGGGCUAGCACUGACGCUGAGGCACGAAGGUCAGGGGAGCAAACGGG
rnacentral:rRNA from 1 species